UACAGAGGUCUCAAGCGUUGUUCGGAUUCAUUGGGCGUAAAGGGUGCGUAGGCGGCGCGGUAAGUCGGGUGUGAAAUCUCGGGGCUUAACUCCGAAACUGCCUUCGAUACUGGCGAUCUUGGAGUCCGGGAGAGGUGAGUGGAACUCCGAGUGUAGAGGUGAAAUUCGUAGAUAUUCGGAAGAACACCAGUGGCGAAGGCGGCUCACUGGCCCGGUACUGACGCUGAGGUGCGAAAGCGUGGGGAGCAAACAGG
rnacentral:rRNA from 1 species